GGGAGCGAACAGGAUUAGAUACCCUGGUAGUCCAUGCCGUAAACGUUGGGCACUAGGUGUGGGGGACAUUCCACGUUUUCCGCGCCGUACCUAACGCAUUAAGUGCCCCGCCUGGGGAGUACGGCCGCAAGGCUAAAACUCAAAGGAAUUGACGGGGGCCCGCACAAGCGGCGGAGCAUGCGGAUUAAUUCAAUGCAACGCGAAAAACCUUACCAAGGCUUGACAUGAACCGGAAUGAUGCAAAAAUGUGUCAGCCACUUGUGGCCGGUUUACAGGUGGUGCAUGGUUGUCUUCAGCUCGUGUCUUGAAAUGUUGGGUUAAGUCCCGCAACGAGCGCAACCCUCGUUCCAUGUUGCCAGCGGGUUAUGCCGGGGACUCAUGGGAGACUGCCGGGGUCAACUCGGAGGAAGGUGGGGACAACUUCAAAUCAUCAUGCCCCUUAUGUCUUGGGCUUCACGCAUGCUACAAUGGCCGG
rnacentral:rRNA from 1 species